rnacentral:misc_RNA from 1 species
CUAUUUUUUUUUCUUCUUCAUUACAGAUUUAUUAUCGUUAUCGUUUCUUGCAUCUCUCGCGAAAUUCCGGGUAGGCACGAAUUCUCCCAAUUUGUGACCUAUCAUAGAAUCCAUUAUAUAAAUAGGUAAAUGUUCCUUUCCAUUAUGAAUACCGAUUGUAUGGCCAACCAUUGAGGGUAUAAUGGUAGAUGCCCGAGACCAAGUGACUAUUAUUUCUUUCUCCUCCCCCAUUUUGAUUUUUUGAAUUUUUUCCGAUAAAUGCUUAGCUACAAAUCUUUUUUCUUGACGUAUCACAGCUGAUUACUCCUUUUUUUCCAUGUUAAAGAUUGGCAUUCUAUGUCCAAU